CGUGGUCGCAGGCUAUGACCUCGCUGCCUUGGCGAACCGCAACUUGGCAGCGUCAGCCUGGCCGAGAUUCGAUCCGUGCGCGGCAAACUCCUCUGUGCGGCGUCAGCAUGAGCGUGCCGCGAUUUCCGAACGCCAUGCGUCGAAAUCAGUUUUCUCCACGACACGUAUGGAAGCAUCCGCAUUUUCGACGCGAUCGCCCGAAAUGUCGAUGAUCUCGCCGUCGAAAUGGCCAGUCUCAUGAAUGAUCACGACCACCGAUUCGAUCCGG
rnacentral:misc_RNA from 1 species